GAUGAACGCUAGCGGCAGGCUUAAUACAUGCAAGUCGAGGGGUAGCAAGAUUGUAGCAAUACAAUUGUUGACGACCGGCAAACGGGUGCGGAACACGUACACAACCUUCCUACAAGUGGGGAAUAGCCCAGAGAAAUUUGGAUUAAUACCCCGUAACAUAGCGAUGUGGCAUCACAUUGCUAUUAUAGCUUCGGCGCUUGUUGAUGGGUGUGCGGCUGAUUAGAUAGUUGGCGGGGUAACGGCCCACCAAGUCUACGAUCAGUAGCUGAUGUGAGAGCAUGAUCAGCCACAGGGGCACUGAGACACGGGCCCGACUCCGACGGGAGGCAGCAGUAAGGAAUAUUGGACAAUGGACGCAAGUCUGAUCCAGCCAUGCCGCGUGAAGGAUUAAGGUCCUCUGGAUUGUAAACUUCUUUUAUAAGGGACGAAAAAAGGUCUUUCUAGAUCGUCUGACGGUACCUUAUGAAUAAGCACCGGCUAACUCCGUGCCAGCCGCCGCGGUAAGAC
rnacentral:rRNA from 1 species